UGGACUGAGAAGACUGGACAUGUUGCUGGGACUAAACAAAUGGCUAUUUCAAACAAAUAUUACUACAAGAGAUAGACAGUGGCUUUCAUCUGUAUCUUUUUUUUUUUUGUUACUUUUAGGGCUUGCCACGCCAGAGCUGUAGUAAUGACUGUGGGGUUUUUAUGCUUAUGUAUACCCUUUGCUCUGUGACCGGUGUGGCAAUUGAAUUCCAGGAGAUGGACAUGCCUUCAAUUCGAAAGUGGUGGUGUCUUCUUCUGAUGGAGCGCUUCAAAAUAGAAGGAUAUGGCCAGCGGUUUGCCUUCUGGACCGAUGAGGCAAGAAACUUGCUCCACGGACAACUUCAGCCAGUGUACAGGGUGCCAAAAAGUGUGCUAUUUCUGAGAAAGUCCCACUUCCCAUUCAGGCUGUUGAAGUCCGCACAACAGAGGAAAAAAGAAUUGUGGACUUUAUUGUAAAGUUAAAGGGGUCUGAGGAGCAUUUGACGGGUGUACUCAACGGGAAGCCCUCUAAAUGGUUGCAUAAGCAAGCAUCUUUCCAGGUGCCUGUCUACAUAGACAGUGAGGAAGAGCAAGAUAUCCCUUUGCUUAUCUUAAAGACGUACUGCACAGGACACCAACAAAACUGAGGUUUACAGAUGAAGUGCAGCUUAUCUGUGAUGUUCUUUUUCCAGAGGCCAUCAUACAUGCUCUGGGGGUCUUGAGGGGUUUGUCUUUAGAUGAUGCUGAGCAGGUCUACCUUUCUGGCACAAAAUAUCAUUACAGGUCAGAAUAUGAUUUAUUUUGACACAAUGCUCAGAGAAACUUUUUGUUACUGAUAUUUACAUUAACCCAUCAG